AACAGAUUAAUUGACAAAUGGAGAGCUCUUCCUUGAUUCUGUUGACAGUGGUGUAUGGCUGUUAUUAGCUGGUGCAGCGAUUUCUCUGGUUAAUUCUGAUAACAAGCGAGACCCCAGCAUGUUAACUAGUUACACUAGUUAACUAGUUAGUUAAUUCUUCCUUCUCUGUGUCUUGUGUAUUUUUACUUUUUUUGCCUUGGUUGUGUUUUCCCACCAGUUUUGAUUCUGCUCAACUGCAAUCAGGAGGAUCACACACCUGCCACUCACCU
rnacentral:ncRNA from 1 species